rnacentral:rRNA from 1 species
CGGAACGGGUGAGUAACGCGUGAGGAACCUGCCUCAAAGAGGGGGACAACAGUUGGAAACGACUGCUAAUACCGCAUAAGCCCACGGCUCGGCAUCGAGCAGAGGGAAAAGGAGCAAUCCGCUUUGAGAUGGCCUCGCGUCCGAUUAGCUAGUUGGUGAGGUAACGGCUCACCAAGGCGACGAUACAUAGGGGGACUGAGAGGUUAACCCCCCACACUGGUACUGAGACACGGACCAG